AUUGAACGCUGGCGGCAUGCCUUACACAUGCAAGUCGAACGGUAACGCGGGGCAACCUGGCGACGAGUGGCGAACGGGUGAGUAAUAUAUCGGAACGUGCCCAGUAGUGGGGGAUAGCCCGGCGAAAGCCGGAUUAAUACCGCAUGAGACCUGAGGGUGAAAGCGGGGGAUCGCAAGACCUCGCGCUAUUGGAGCGGCCGAUAUCAGAUUAGGUAGUUGGUGGGGUAAAGGCCUACCAAGCCGACGAUCUGUAGCUGGUCUGAGAGGACGACCAGCCACACUGGGACUGAGACACGGCCCAGACUCCUACGGGAGGCAGCAGUGGGGAAUUUUGGACAAUGGGCGCAAGCCUGAUCCAGCCAUGCCGCGUGCGGGAAGAAGGCCUUCGGGUUGUAAACCGACGUUCUGUCAGGGAAGAAAUCUUCUGGGUUAAUACCUCGGGAGGAUGACGGUACCUGAAGAAUAAGCACCGGCUAACUACGUGCCAGCAGCCGCGGUAAAACGUACUCUA
rnacentral:rRNA from 1 species